rnacentral:lncRNA from 1 species
GACACAACCUAAAAAAAACCUAACACAUCUAAGGGAGCCGUUUCUCAUGAUCUGGAACCAAAAAAAACCCUAAGACCAUCAUCUUCCUCAACCUAACACACCUAGGCCCCUAACCUAGAGGAUCCCUGAGAAAUCAGCCGCAUACGCUCCUUCUUGAACCAGCGAAGAACAGAGCUCCAUCAGCCAUCUCCACCUUUCUUCUUCAACCUUCAGACACCCUAACGCCACUUCCCCUCCGGCCAAACCCAAACAGCCGAAACCCAACCCUUUCCUACAAAAUCUUUGGCAGUCGACCACCCUAGAACGACCAUCUCCACCAAACCAUCAGCCGUUGCCAAUUUCCAAACAUUCAA